CUUAAUUUGACUCAACACGGGGAAACCUCACCAGGCCCGGACACCGGAAGGAUUGACAGAUUGAGAGCUCUUUCUUGAUUCGGUGGGUGGUGGUGCAUGGCCGUUCUUAGUUGGUGGAGCGAUUUGUCUGGUUAAUUCCGAUAACGAACGAGACUCUAGCCUGCUAAAUAGGCGUACUUCCGGUAUCUCAAAGSGCCGCUUCGCSGGUUUSGCCGCCGCCGUCGCGCGUGUGGUUUUUACUACCGGCGUACAAAUAAUUCUUCUUAGAGGGACAGGCGGUUUCUAACCGCACGAGAUUGAGCAAUAACAGGUCUGUGAUGCCCUUAGAUGUCCUGGGCCGCACGCGCGCCACACUGAAGGAAUCAACGUGUCUUCCCUGGCCGAAAGGUCCGGGUAACCCGCUGAACCUCCUUCGUGCUAGGGAUUGGGGCUUGCAAUUGUUCCCCAUGAACGAGGAAUUCCCAGUAAGCGCGAGUCAUAAACUCGCGUUGACUAAGUCCCUGCCCUUUGUACACACCGCCCGUCGCUACUACCGAUUGAAUGAUUUAGUGAGGUCUUCGGACCG
rnacentral:rRNA from 1 species